GAGCUUUUAGCUCAGUUGGUGAGAGCAUGGUGCUAAUAAUGCCAAGGUUGUGGGUUCAAUCCCUGUAUGGACCA
rnacentral:tRNA from 1 species